UUUAUAGAAUGCGACGAUCCAGAUCCAACGGAGUCCCUCUAGUCCACGAUGCAGUUCGACCUUUUUGCCGUUCGGCGGCGUUAGACCAUUGUCUACUUAGUGGCACCACUGCAUAUGUACACUUAUAUUCCAUAUUGUGAGCAUACUUUUAGGAUAAUAGGGCGCUGGGCAAUAACAUUCUAAACUGGACAUUUUUAUACCCGUUACUAAAAGGGUAUACUUAAUUUGUUCAAAAGCCCCGAAAUUAAAACGGAGUGAAAAUGAACGCAGCCUAAAGCGGAGCGGCAAAACAUCAAAGUUCCUGUCGCACUUGAAAAAUAGGUAUAAGUAGAAGUAAAAGUUCAAAAUGUAUAAAAAUAUAACCGUUUAAAAUAUGUUAACUACCUGGACUGGUUCCGAUUUAAAAUCCUUUAUUGUUUUUUUUUUUUUU